UGGGGAAUUUUGGACAAUGGGGGAAACCCUGAUCCAGCCAUCCCGCGUGUGCGAUGAAGGCCUUCGGGUUGUAAAGCACUUUUGGCAGGAAAGAAACGUCAUGGGUUAAUACCCCGUGAAACUGACGGUACCUGCAGAAUAAGCACCGGCUAACUACGUGCCAGCAGCCGCGGUAAUAUGUAGGGUGCAAGCGUUAAUCGGAAUUACUGGGCGUAAAGCGUGCGCAGGCGGUUCGGAAAGAAAGAUGUGAAAUCCCAGAGCUCAACUUUGGAACUGCAUUUUUAACUACCGGGCUAGAGUGUGUCAGAGGGAGGUGGAAUUCCGCGUGUAGCAGUGAAAUGCGUAGAUAUGCGGAGGAACACCGAUGGCGAAGGCAGCCUCCUGGGAUAACACUGACGCUCAUGCACGAAAGCGUGGGGAGCAAACAGG
rnacentral:rRNA from 1 species